rnacentral:rRNA from 1 species
UACGGGGGGGGCAAGCGUUGUUCGGAAUUACUGGGCGUAAAGGGCUCGUAGGCGGCCAACUAAGUCAGACGUGAAAUCCCUCGGCUUAACCGGGGAACUGCGUCUGAUACUGGAUGGCUAGAGUUUGGGAGAGGGAUGCGGAAUUCCAGGUGUAGCGGUGAAAUGCGUAGAUAUCAGGAGGAACACCAAUGGCGAAGGCAGCACUCUGGGACGUGACUGACGCUGAGACGCGAAAGCGUGGGGAGCAAACAGG